rnacentral:rRNA from 1 species
UACGAAGGGGGCUAGCGUUGUUCGGAAUUACUGGGCGUAAAGCGCGCGCAGGCGGCUAUCCAAGUCAGUGGUGAAAGCCCGGAGCUCAACUCCGGAACUGCCAUUGAAACUGUGAGACUUGAGUAUGAGAGAGGUGAGUGGAAUUCCCAGUGUAGAGGUGAAAUUCGUAGAUAUUGGGAAGAACACCGGUGGCGAAGGCGGCCUGCUGGGCUAUGGCUGACACUGAGGCGCGACAGCGUGGGGAGCAAACAGG